rnacentral:rRNA from 1 species
GCAUAUCAAUAAGCGGAGGAAGAGAAACUAACAAGGAUUCCCCUAGUAACGGCGAGUGAAGCGGGAUGAGCUCAAAUUUGAAAGCUGGCCUUUUUGGUCCGCGUUGUAAUCUCGAGAAGUGUUUUCCGUGUUGGACCGCGUACAAGUCCCUUGGAAUAGGGCGUCGUAGAGGGUGAGAAUCCCGUACUUGACGUGGCAGCCAAUGCUUUGUGAUACACUCUCCACGAGUCGAGUUGUUUGGGAAUGCAGCUCAAAAUGGGUGGUAAAUUCCAUCUAAAGCUAAAUAUUGGGGAGAGACCGAUAGCGAACAAGUACCGUGAGGGAAAGAUGAAAAGCACUUUGGAAAGAGAGUUAAACAGUACGUGAAAUUGUCGAAAGGGAAGCGCUUGAAGUCAGCUAUGCUGUUCGGGAUUCAGCCUUGCUUUUUGCUUGGUGUAUUUCCCGGCGUGCAGGCCAGCAUCGGUUUCGGCUGCCGGAUAAGGGUAGAAGGAAUGUAGCACCCUCGGGUGUGUUAUAGCCUUUUACUGGAUACGGUGGCUGGGACCGAGGAACGCAGUACGCCCUCGUGGUGGGCCUUCGGGCACCUUCGUACUUAGGAUGCUGGCGUAAUGGCUUUAAGCGACCCGUCUUGAAACACGGACCAAGGAGUCUAACAUGUUUGCGAGUCUUUGGGUGGCAAACCCAUAGGCGUAAUGAAAGUGAAUGUAGGUGGGAGGCCUUUGGCUGCACCAUCGACCGAUCCGGAUCUUCUGUGAUGGAUUUGAGUACGAGCAAUUAUGUUGGGACCCGAAAGAUGGUGAACUAUGCCUGAAUAGGGCGAAGCCAGAGGAAACUCUGGUGGAGGCUCGUAGCGGUUCUGACGUGCAAAUCGAUCGUCAAAUUUGGGUAUAGGGGGCGAAAGACUAAUCGAACCAUCUAGUAGCUGGUUCCUGCCGAA